rnacentral:rRNA from 1 species
UACGAAGGGUGCUAGCGUUGUUCGGAAUUACUGGGCGUAAAGCGUACGUAGGCGGCUUAGUAAGUCGAUUGUGAAAGCCCCAAGCUUAACUUGGGAAUUGCAACCGAAACUGCUUUGCUUGAGUUUGGUGGGGGAUGGUGGAAUUCCUAGUGUAGGGGUGAAAUCCGUAGAUAUUAGGAGGAAUACCUGUGGCGAAAGCGACCAUCUACGCCAAUACUGACGCUAAGGUACGAAAGCGUGGGGAGCAAACAGG